UACGAAGGGGGGCUAGCGUUGCUCGGAAUUACUGGGCGUAAAGGGAGCGUAGGCGGAUAGUUUAGUCAGAGGUGAAAGCCCAGGGCUCAACCUUGGAAUUGCCUUUGAUACUGGCUAUCUUGAGUACGGAAGAGGUAUGUGGAACUCCGAGUGUAGAGGUGAAAUUCGUAGAUAUUCGGAAGAACACCGGUGGCGAAGGCGGCAUCCUGGACCAACACUGACGCUGAGGAGCGAAAGCCAGGGGAGCAAACGGG
rnacentral:rRNA from 1 species